CGUGUGGUUCUAUUUUGUUGGUUUCUAGGACCGCCGGUAAUGAUUAAUAGGGAUAGUCGGGGGCAUCAGUAUUCCAAUCGUCAGAAGGUGAAAUUCUUGGAUUGAUUGAAGACUAACUACUGCGAAAGCAUUUGCCCAAGGAUGUUUUCAUUAAUCAGUGAACGAAAGUUAGGGGAUCGAAGACGAUCAGAUACCGUCGUAGUCUUAACCAUAAACUAUGCCGACUAGGGAUCGGACGGUGUUAGUAUUUUGACCCGUUCGGCACCUUACGAGAAAUCAAAGUUUUUGGGUUCUGGGGGGAGUAUGGUCGCAAGGCUGAAACUUAAAAAAAUUGACGGAAGGGCACCACCAGGCGUGGAGCCUGCGGCUUAAUUUGACUCAACGCGGGGAAACUCACCAGGUCCAGACACAAUAAGGAUUGACAGAUUGARAGUUCUUUCUUGAUUUUGUGGGUGGUGGUGCAUGGCCGUUCUUAGUUGGUGGAGUGAUUUGUCUGCUUAAUUGCGAUAACGAACGAGGCCUUAACCUGCUAAAUAGCCAGGCCCGCUUUGGCGGGUCGCCGGCUUCUUGGAGGGACUAUCGGCUCAAGCCGAUGGAAGUUUGAGGCAAUAACAGGUCUGUGAUGCCCUUAGAUGUUCUGGGCCGCACGCGCGCUACACUGACAGAGCCAACGAGUUCAUUUCCUUAGCCGAAAGGUUUGGGUAAUCUUGUUAAACUCUGUCGUGC
rnacentral:rRNA from 1 species